ACUUCUGGCCAGCCCGCACAGUAUGUCAAGUCGGCCCCGGGAAGCGGGUACAGUCAGAGAAGACUGCCGCGUUCUAUCUGAUGAGUGACCUGAGCCUAGAGGACCUCAGUUCACUGAAAUCGAGGAACAUGAUAAGGAGGUGGCUGGUUAUUUUUAUCCUUUUCCCCCUGCAGCUCAUAGAGAAAUGUGAGUCAACAGUUGACUUCUCUGUACCUCCCAUCGUGAAGCUGGAAAACGGAAGCUCCACCAGCGUCAGCAUCUCCCUCCCGUGCCCUUUAAAUGCAACCUUGGUGAUCACUUUUGAAAUCACAUUUCGUUCAAAAAACGUUACUAUCCUUCAGCUCCCUGAUGAAGUCGUGGUGCCUCCCGGAACGACAAAUACCUCUUUUCGAGUGACGUCUCAAAGUGUUGGACAAGUUACCGCUUAUCUUCAUGGAAAUCACUCCAACCAGACCAGCCCAAGGAUACGCUUCUUGGUGAUCCACAGCAACGUCGUCAGCAUCAUCAACCAGGUGAUCGGCUGGAUCUACUUUGUGGCCUGGUCAGUCUCCUUCUACCCUCAGGUGAUCACCAACUGGAGGCGGAAAAGUGUCGUGGGUCUGAGCUUCGACUUUGUGGCCCUCAACCUGAUGGGGUUUGUGGCCUACAGCGUGUUCAACAUCGGCCUCUUCUGGGUAUCCUCCAUCAAGGAGCAGUUUCUCCUCAAAUACCCCAACGGCGUGAACCCCGUGGACAGUAAUGACGUCUUCUUCAGCCUGCACGCGGUCGCCCUCACCCUGGUCGUCAUAGCGCAAUGCCUCCUGUAUGAGCGAGGCAACCAGCGUGUGUCCUGGCCAGCCAUCAGCUUCCUGGUCCUCUCCUGGCUCUUCACGCUCAUCGCCCUGAUCAUGGCUGCGGUUGGGGCAACCACCUGGCUGCAGUUUCUCUUCUGCUUCUCCUACAUCAAGCUGGCAGUGACGCUGGUCAAGUAUUUUCCACAGCCACAGCAGGAUGCUGGGGAGAUGAGCCGGGAGGAGGCGGCCCCCCCAGCACCCAGGGUCCUCCCUGUGGGCCCUCACACCCUCCCUCGAGUGCUCAAGACAAUCCUACUCAGAGUCGGGGACUGAGAGUCACACACGGCUUCCGCCACAGCCAGAAUGGCCUAGGACCAGUUCAGGUAUGAAAGAACUGACAACCACAGGCUCUACUCAUGAAUCUGGGGCCUCAUUUAACCCACUUCCCCAGCACAGGGAACCUUUUGUUCCAGAAGGUUCAAGAAGGAGAACAUUUUGGCCAGAAUCUCAGGGCCAGUCCCCUGGAGGGCAUGGAAACAGAGCCAUACCCUUAAGGAUCAGCAGGACUCAGUUCCAUGGACCGGGGAGAGGGGCCGCUCCGGGCCAGUGCAUUCUGCACAAAGGCACUGUCGGAGGAGGCCUUGCAGGUGGAGCAGUGUGAAGCUAGGAAGGUGGGAUCGGGGCCCAGGGGGCUUGGGAAGGAGGCUUCAGAGUAGGGGAAGGGCCUGGGGGAAGUAGGGCCUCAGUCCUGAGUGUGGGAAGGCUUGGGCCUGGGAAACCUGGGAGGGAGGAGCCUGAGUUGGAGAUGUCUUGGACCAUCCAGGACUGGAGAGGUGGCAGCAAGCAUGAAGGUUAGUGGGAGAGGCCAAGAAGGGGGCCUGACAGGUGGCUGCUGGGAGAAGACCUGGAAGGAGUGAUGUCCAAGUGGACUGGACCUGCGAAGCCCAAGGUGGAGGCCCUAGAGCCUCAGCAGGGCUGGGGAAGGAGUGAAGUCCAUGCUAUAGGUGGGAAAACUAAGGCUAGGAGAAUUCAAGUCACUCUCCCAAAGUAACACAGCUCCCAUGGUGGAGCUGGGAUUCCAAACUAGGUCAUCGGACCUCCCAGGCUGUGUUCAUAAGCCCAACAUGAAGUCCAGGCUGAGUUUGGGGAGAAUCUCCAUUUGAAGGUGAGAAGAAACAAAUCAGAGUUGCCUGAAAGCCAGGAUAUACAGUAGGAUGAAGAUGGAGAGAAAGCAUCCACACACACCCCUCUCCCUCCCCCCAUCCCCCUGGCUGGAGUGGGGAGUUUGGGAGGAGGAGAGCUCGGUUUGCUUGGCUUACAGAGGAGACUCCAGGACCUGCCCAGACUGUGCCCACAGCUCCGAAACCAAAGGUCAUUGUGUUUUGGGGGCUGAGGUCCAAACAGAGGAGUGGGAGGCAUGAGAGCCGCUCUUGUUUGGACAUAGUCACACGGUGCAGGAGGCCGCCUCUCAGCCCCCUCACUGCCCUCUGUCUGUCUGGCCCAGGCCUACAUGAACUUUCACUACAAAAGCACCGAGGGCUGGAGCAUUGGCAACGUGCUUCUGGACUUCACUGGGGGCAGCUUCAGCCUCCUCCAGAUGUUCCUGCAGUCCUACAACAACGACCAGUGGACACUGAUCUUCGGAGACCCAACCAAAUUUGGCCUCGGCAUCUUCUCCAUCAUCUUCGAUGUUGUCUUCUUCAUCCAGCACUUCUGCUUGUACAGAAAGAAACCAGGGUAUGACCAGCUGAACUAGCUCCCCGGGAACCAGUGGAAAGAGCCCAGGCCCAGGCCCUGGUGGGGAAGUUUCCAUCAGGAAGGCUGGAGAAGCUGUCUGGAGAGCUGGGCUGGCUCCGUGUGGAGAAGCACUCUCUUCCUCAGGGCCAGAUGCCUUAAACUUGAACCAGCCUGCCUUCAUCCUGGACUCUCCCAGGCCAGGGAGGACCCUCCCUUUGGGAUAGGCACCUUGACUGUGUGCAGAGAUUAACAGCUGGCAGCCCCUCCUGGUCUCCCCAGAGGUCUUUUGCCCCGGGCCUUUCCAGUCAGGCACCUGGCCCUCCUGCAUCUUGAUGCUGCAUCUCUGUUUUCUUUAAGGCUUCAGGCAGCACACAGGGCUUCUGGCAGCUGUCCCAGGCAGGACUGAGCCCUGAGCUUGGAGCUGAAGGCCUUGCCCCACCGCCCAAGCUACCAGUGUUUCUGGGAGCGGCUUGAAGGACUGACCUGGCAGCUGGGAGAGUCAAGGGAGCCUUGCUGCCACUGCUGUGUUCAGAGACAGAGCAGCCAGGUGUUGUGCCCGAUAGACCCGGAGAUGCUGGUGUUGUUGGCAGAGGGGCAAGGACUUUGGGGUUAGGCCUUGGGGCGCCUCCUCUGAAGGCUGCGUUCUCUGAGCACUCACUGUGUGGACACUCAUCCUACAUCCAGGUGGCCCCAGCCAGGCUCUUGUAAAGAACCAGUAUUUCCAAACCUUGAGGUGCCCAACAGAUUGGUUCGGAAUCGAGCUCACAUCCAGCUCUCUCCGGAUCUUUAUCACACUAACGAGCCAUUUGGAAUUUUUCAGAGGGAUGCUUUGGAAGUGAGUGGCUUACUUUCUUCUGCCUCUGCCUACCUCCACUUUCCCAUAUUCGGGCCCCACACGUGCCCCUUACCUGUUUGGAGGACAGGACACACACAUACACACAUAGACACACACCAGUCUGUGCCUUAGAGGCAUAUUAGACCUGCCAAGUGGUGAGAGCAGCCCCCUUCCCUCACUUUCCCAGACUCCAACCUGAGACUCACCAACUUGUGGCUGUUCCAGAGCCUCAAAGGACUUGAGACCACCUCACACACUCCUUGUGGGCCCCGCCUGACCCCAGAGCCUCUCCCUUCCCACCCCAAGCAGUCGUCCUGCCUGUGGCAGCAGGGGAGGUAGAUGUGCCUUGUCCAUGCCUCGAGCUUGUCGAUCCAUGAGAUGAACAAGGGGCUUCUGUCCUCAAUUAAACCUGCUUCGUUUCCUCUCUGCACACUGAGCAUUUGCCAGAUGCAGGAGGCAGGUGUGUUGGCUUCUGAACCAAGUCCUUAGGGCUCAGGGAGACGGCCUCAGUCAUUCCACUGUACGGAAACGCAUGGCAUUUCGAAGUUCACCAAUCCCAAAAUGGCUGUGUGCCAAACCCGUGUGUCACCAGGGGAGCCCUGCUGGGCGGCACUGUUGGAUGCUCAGGGCCAGGCUGGUCCCAGAGGGACCAUCUGCAUGACCAAGGGCGUGGUAGUCUGGCUGUGUGGCCGUAAGCAAGGGCUGGAUGCGUUCUUUAAGGGUAUGUGGGAGAAGAGGCAGGGGAGGGGGUGGUAAAUCUUCCAGAUUCUUCCUCUAGCCUGCCAUACUAAGUAUCAAGGAAUUUAGGAACUUGUUUCUCUAAAGCAGAAAGUGCAGCCUGACCAAGCCCACAUGCCUGAUUUAUUUAGGCCACCCAGCGUGUGGUUGGGUAACACACUUUAAAGAUGGGAGAUUGCAAAAAUCUGACUUGCCUGGGCUAGGUGGGUCCAUGAGUGGCGGCAACUCCCAGAGCCAGUAUUGCAACCAGUCCUGGGCCAGGCAGAGGGCACAGUGCCCCCCAGCUCACUCCCAUCCCAUCAAACCACAGCCUGUGUCCCUGGCAUGGAUAAAAUGAGUUCUCUAAUGUCUUAUGGGAUACGUGUCUGCCCUUGGUGUCCAUGAGGCCCCUUCCCAAUGAGAGCUGAGGCUAGGUUACACAAGGGUAGUGGGGGUCUCCCUGGUCCAGUUCCAGUGAAGGGACUCUCAGACAUUCCCACAGAGCAGCCCUGGCCCAGUACAGCAUCAGUGGGUUUGGGAAUAGAUAUUUCACCAAGUAUCCCUCCCCCCUGUCUCAGCAAAGACCCCUGAUGAAUGAAUUCCAGCACUGUUUAUUGGGCACAGGAUGCAGGGCAGCUUCCCACUGCCCCAUUUCCACAGUAACCAAAGUCAGGCCAGUGCCCUCACUAAGAGUAGCUCCCACGUGUGAAUUAGUAAGCUUAAAUUCCAAAGUUGAACUGGCACCUCCAAAGAGUGAGAUAAAAAACACUUUGUAUCAAAGCUGUGAUUAAAAAAAUAUAAAAGUUAAACCC